UAGCUCAGUUGGUAGAGUGCUUGCCUCGCAUGCACAAGGACCUGGGUUCAAUCCCCAG
rnacentral:tRNA from 1 species